rnacentral:rRNA from 1 species
ACUCUGCAAAUUGAUACCGUAACUUCGGAAGAAGGUAUGCCUUCGACGGUGUAGGGAUUCACUCCCGAAGCUGUUGAAGGUCGCAGGUAAUCGGUGGCUGCGACUGUUUAUCAAAAACACAGGACUCUGCGAACACGCAAGUGGAUGUAUAGGGUCUGACGCCUGCCCGGUGCCGGAAGGUUAACUGAUGGUGUUAGCCGCAAGGCGAAGCUCUUGAUCGAAGCCCCGGUAAACGGCGGCCGUAACAAUAACGGUCCUAAGGUAGCGAAAUUCCUUGUCGGGUAAGUUCCGACCUGCACGAAUGGCGUAACGCUGGCCACACUGUCUCGACCCGAGACUCAGUGAAGUUGAAAUCGCUGUGAAGAUGCGGCGUUCCCGCGGCAAGACGGAAAGACCCCGUGAACCUUCACUACAGCUUUACACUGAACUUUGAACCUUCCUGUGUAGUAUAGGUGGGAGGCUAUGAAGCCUGGGCGCUAGCUCGGGUGGAGCCAACGUUGAAAUACCACCCUGGGAUGUUCGGAGUUCUAACCUUGUCCCGUAAUCCGGGAUGGGGACAGUGUAUGGUGGGUAGUUUGACUGGGGCGGUCUCCUCCCAAAGAGUAACGGAGGAGUGCAAUGGUACGCUCAGCGCGGUCGGUCAUCGCGCUCUAGAGUGCAAAGGCAUAAGCGUGCUUAACUGUGAGACAGACACGUCGAACAGGUACGAAAGUAGGUCUUAGUGAUCCGGUGGUUCUGUAUGGAAGGGCCAUCGCUCAACGGAUAAAAGGUACUCCGGGGAUAACAGGCUUAUUCCUCCCAAGAGUCCACAUCGACGGAGGAGUUUGGCACCUCGAUGUCGGCUCAUCACAUCCUGGGGCUGUAGCAGGUCCCAAGGGUAUGGCUGUUCGCCAUUUAAAGUGGUACGCGAGCUGGGUUCAGAACGUCGUGAGACAGUUCGGUCCCUAUCUGCCGUGGGCGUUGGAAACUUGAGGGUGAGCUGUCCUUAGUACGAGAGGACCGGGAUGGACGUAUCUCUGGUGUUCCGGUUGUCACGCCAGUGGCACUGCCGGGUAGCUAUAUACGGACGGGAUAAGCGCUGAAAGCAUCUAAGCGCGAAGCCCCCCCCAAGAUUAGGUUUCCCUGGGAACUCGAUUCCCCUAAAGGGCCGUCGGAGACUACGACGUUGAUAGGCUGGGUGUGUACGUGCAGCAAUGCAUUGAGCUAACCAGUACUAAUUGCCCGUGAGGCUUGACCG